UCCCCUAGUAACGGCGAGUGAAGCGGGAUGAGCCCAGCACCGAAUCCUCUGCGUGUGACGUAGCAGGAAAUGUGGUGUUUAGGACAGCCUCUGGAGCUUUGCUGCGCGCCCGAGUCCUCCUGAUUGGGGCCUCUCCCAUAGCGGGUGUCAGGCCUCUACUGGCGUGCGGCGGAGUCUUCUUUGAGCGUCCUUGGAGUCGGGUUGUUUGGGAAUGCAGCCCAAAGUGGGUGGUAAACUCCAUCUAAGGCUAAAUACCGACACGAGUCCGAUAGCGGACAAGUACCGUGAGGGAAAGUU
rnacentral:rRNA from 1 species